rnacentral:rRNA from 1 species
UACGUAGGGUGCAAGCGUUGUCCGGAAUUAUUGGGCGUAAAGGGCUCGUAGGCGGUUUGUCGCGUCGGGAGUGAAAACUCAGGGCUUAACCCUGAGCCUGCUUCCGAUACGGGCAGACUAGAGGUAUGCAGGGGAGAACGGAAUUCCUGGUGUAGCGGUGAAAUGCGCAGAUAUCAGGAGGAACACCGGUGGCGAAGGCGGUUCUCUGGGCAUGUCCUGACGCUGAGGAGCGAAAGUGUGGGGAGCGAACAGG